GUGACAGAGUGAGGGAAGGGGUGACUAGUGGCAGAGUGAGGGAAGGAAAGGAAGGGGUGACAGAGUGAGGAAGGGGGUGACACGUGACAGAGUGAAGGAGGUGGUGACUGUCACUAGUCACCCCAUCCCUCCCUCUGUCACUAAUCACCACCUCCCUCACUCUGUCACUAGUCACCCCCUCCCUCUCUCUGUCACUAGUCACACCCUCCUUCACUCUGUCACUAGUCACCCCCUCCCUCACUCUGUCAC
rnacentral:sRNA from 1 species